rnacentral:lncRNA from 1 species
CAGCAACCUCAUCUCAGCUGAUAGAGAGCUAGCUAUCAUAUUUUCAGAGUAGUCAAAAUCAUCUCUCUCAAAGAUCAACUGUAGAGCUCUCAACUUGCUUUUCGGUCUUUCUGAAAUUGCACCUUCGCAGGAGAGAUGAAGCAACUCACUUAAACUUUCUUCCGAGACCCUAACCCUCACUCCUCGGACCUCAGACACAAGCCCU